rnacentral:rRNA from 1 species
AGUGAACGCUGGCGGCGUGCCUAAUACAUGCAAGUCGAACGAACGAAUAAGAGCCUGCUCUUAUAAGUUAGUGGCGCACGGGUGAGUAAUAUAUAGCUAAUCUGCCUCUUAGUAGAGGAUAACAGUCGGAAACGAUUGCUAAUACUCUAUACUUCUGCUUUACAUAAGUAAAGUAGAGAAAGUUUUUCGCUAAGAGAUGAGGCUAUACUGUAUCAGCUAGUUGGUAAGGUAACGGCUUACCAAGGCUAUGACGCAUAACUGGUCUGAGAGGAUGAUCAGUCACAUUAGAACUGAGACACGGUCCAAACUCCUACGGGAGGCAGCAGUAGGGAAUAUUGCGCAAUGGGGGAAACCCUGACGCAGCAACGCCGCGUGGAGGAUGACACUUUUCGGAGCGUAAACUCCUUUUAUCGGGAAAGAAUAAUGACGGUACCCGAUGAAUAAGCACCGGCUAACUCCGUG